AAAGCAGCAAUGCGCUCAGGGAGGGGCUCGCGUCCUAUUAGUUAGUUGGCGGGGUAACGGCCCACCAAGGCGAUGACGGGUAGCCGGUCUGAGAGGAUGUCCGGCCACACUGGAACUGAGACACGGCCCAGACUCCUACGGGAGGCAGCAGUGGGGGAUAUUGCACAAUGGGCGAAAGCCUGAUGCAGCAAUGCCGCGUGAGGGAAGAAGGUUUUCGGAUUGUAAACCUCUGUCCCUGAUGACGAAGACAGUGACGGUAAUCAGGGAGGAAGCCACGGCUAACUACGUGCCAGCAGCCGCGGUAAUACGUAGGUGGCAAGCGUUGUCCGGAAUUACUGGGUGUAAAGGGAGCGCAGGCGGGAAGGCAAGUCAGCGGUGAAAACUAUGGGCUCAACCCAUAGACUGCCGUUGAAACUGUUUUUCUUGAGUGAAGUAGAGGUAGGCGGAAUUCCGAGUGUAGCGGUGAAAUGCAUAGAUAUUCGGAGGAACACCAGUGGCGAAGGCGGCCUACUGGGCUUUUACUGACGCUGAGGCUCGAAAGUGUGGGGAGCAAACAGGAUUAGAUACCCUGGUAGUCCACACCGUAAACGAUGAUUGCUAGGUGUGGGGGGUCUGACCCCCUCCGUGCCGGAGUUAACACAAUAAGCAAUCCACCUGGGGAGUACGGCCGCAAGGUUGAAACUCAAAGGAAUUGACGGGGGCCCGCACAAGCAGUGGAGUAUGUGGUUUAAUUCGAAGCAACGCGAAGAACCUUACCAGGUCUUGACAUCCAACUAACGAAGUAGAGAUACAUUAGGUGCCCUUCGGGGAAAGUUGAGACAGGUGGUGCAUGGUUGUCGUCAGCUCGUGUCGUGAGAUGUUGGGUUAAGUCCCGCAACGAGCGCAACCCUUGCCAUUAGUUGCUACGCAAGAGCACUCUAAUGGGACCGCCAUCGACAAGAUGGAGGAAGGUGGGGACGACGUCAAAUCAUCAUGCCCUUUAUGACCUGGGCUACACACGUACUACAAUGGUUGUUAACAGAGGGAAGCAAUACCGCGAGGUGGAGCAAAUCCCUAAAAACAAUCUCAGUUCAGAUUGCAGGCUGCAACUCGCCUGCAUGAAGUCGGAAUUGCUAGUAAUCGCGGAUCAGCAUGCCGCGGUGAAUACGUUCCCAGGCCUUGUACACACCGCCCGUCA
rnacentral:rRNA from 1 species